rnacentral:rRNA from 1 species
UACAGAGGGUGCAAGCGUUAAUCGGAAUUACUGGGCGUAAAGCGUGCGCAGGCGGUUUUGUAAGUCUGUCGUGAAAGCCCCGGGCUCAACCUGGGAAUUGCGAUGGAGACUGCAAGGCUUGAAUCUGGCAGAGGGGGGUAGAAUUCCACGUGUAGCAGUGAAAUGCGUAGAGAUGUGGAGGAACACCGAUGGCGAAGGCAGCCUCCUGGGCCAGCACUGACGCUCAUGCACGAAAGCGUGGGGAGCAAACAGG